rnacentral:lncRNA from 10 species
UCCUGGUGCAGAAACAGGUUGGAGCAUUGCUGAGGACCCUGAGCAGGAUUUGAGCCAGGGUGCACCCGCAGGGCAGGACGGAAGAUGCCACAUGGCUCACCCACCCCUGGGGCCACAUGCAGAGUUACUGUCAAGCCACGUCAGCACCCGCAGGGCCCAGUGUGAGCACAGCAGCGACUCCAAGUGGGUGGGAGCUGGCAAGCCACCUGCUGGCCAGGGAUGCCUGUUCGCCUGUUAGAGGUAGCGAUUCUCGUUCAGAGUGGACCACAGCCUGAUGACCCCUGCUUUCAAGAAGGACCAUCCCAUCUUAAACAACAGCUCCAUGAAUACAACCCUCCCUGGGAGUGCAGUGAGGCCAUUUUUACCAGGCUGCCUGUAAGGAUGGGGUGGAGGAUUGGAUCUAUGGAUUAACAUUCCCUUUGGGGACGCAUCGCGGGCAGAUGAGAAAUUCCCGACAGCUUGAUGGUCAGGGUCUCCAUUACCCAUAUAUCAAGGAGAGGAAGACGGAUUCCCCACGCCGACUGCCUGCCCAGCCUCCCUGCCGACAGCCACCGCUGAAGGGCGGUUGAUGGAGGUUGUGACUGUCCCUGUGACCACCCUCCUGAGGCCCUAAAGCACAGGAGAACUCCAGGCAGAAACAGAUGCGGGGUAAUGUAGCCCCCCUCAGCCCCAGCUCCUCUGGGAGGGGCUGUUUUGUAAAUCACUGCCAGCCCCGCUCCUCCUGGCAGGUCCAGGAAAAAGGCAAUUACAUCCCCAAGAAAUGUGGCCAGUCAGGGAGCGUGAGAGCUUGUGCUGCUCUUGGGGGCCACAGAGACCCACCUGGCUGGUUCUGGAUGAGACAAAGGCUGCAGACUGACACACCUAUGCAACUCUCCUCCUGCCCAGGCCUUGGAAGUCACCGGCAACCCCUGCCCCUCCAAACUCAGACACGUCCUCAGGAUCUCUCUCAACACAGUACUGCAGGCAACCACAACUGGGCAGCCCAAGUGGGUGAGCAAGAUCAAUGCGGAAUUGCAAGGGGCCUCAAGUAGCAAAAACAACCUUCAAAAAGAAGAACAAAGUCAGAGGAGUUACACUUUCUGAUUUCAAAUUUACUACAAAGCUACAGCUGUUAAAACAGUGUAAAACUGGCAUAGGGAUAGACAUAUAAAUCAAUAGAAUAAAAUUCAGAGUCGUUUAAGGCCAGUUAAUUUUUGUCAUGGAUGCCAAGCUCAUUCAAUGGGGAAAGAACAGUCUUUUCUACAAAUGUUACUGGGACAACUUGAUUUCUGCAUGCAAAAGAUGAGGUUGGACCCCUACCUCACACUAUAGGCAAAAAUUAACUCAAAAUGGAUCAAUACCCUAAAUAUAAGAGCAAAAGCUGCAAAACUCUUAGAAGAAAGCAUAGUGGUAGAUCUUCAUGACCUUGGAUAUGGCAAUGGAUUCUUAGAUAUGAUAUCAAAAUCUCAAGUAAGAAUAACAAUAACAACAAAAAACAGAUAAAUUAGACUUCAUCAAAUUUAAAACUUUUGUGCACCAAACAACAUUAUCAAGAAAGUGAAAAGACAACCACAGAAUGGGAGAAAACACCUGCAAAUCAUAUAUCUAAUAAUAGUUUAAUAUCCAGAAUAUAUAAAGAACUUCUAAAACUCGAAAACAAAAGAACAAAACAACCAAAUUUAAAAAUGGGCAGGCUGGGCAUGUAGCUCAUGCUUGUAAUCCCAGCACAUUAGGAGGCCAAGGCAGGCGGGUCCAUUUGAGCUCAGGAGUUUGAGACCAGCCUGGGCAACAUAGUGAUACUCCAUCUCUACAAAAAAUACAAAAAUUAGCCAGGCAUGGUGGCUUAUGCCUGUAAUCCCAGCUACUCUGGAGGCUAAGGCUGGAGGAUGACUUGAGGCUGGGAAUCAGAGGUUGCAGUGAGAUCAUGCCACUGCCCUCCAGACUAGGAGACAGAAUGAGACCCUGUCUCAAAAAAUAAAUAAAAAUAAAAAUAAAAUAAAAUAAAAAUGGGCAAAGGAUUUGAAUAGAUGUUUCUCUGAAGAAGAUGCACAAAUGCCAAUAAGCACAUGAAAAGAUGCUCAACAUCACUAAUCUUUAGAGAAAUGUAAAUUAAAGCCACCAUCACUUCACCUAUUGGCAUGGCUAUAAUCAGAAAAGCUAAAAGUAACAACUGCUGGUGAGGAUGUGGAGAAACUGGAACUCUUGUGCAUUGAUGAUGGAAAUGGAAAGUGGUAUAACUGUUGUGUAAAAUAGUGUGGUCAUUCCUCAAAAAGCUAAAUGUAUAGUUACCAUGGAAUUGUGACCCAAUAAUUCCAUUCCUAGGUAUAUACUCAACAGAAUUGAAAACAAGAAAUCAAAAAAUGCUUGUGUCCCAAAGUUUAUAGCAGCAUCAUCCACAAAAGCCAAAAGAUGGAAACCAGGCAAAAGUCAACCGACAGAUGAAUGGAUAAAUACAGCGUGCUCCACCACACGGAAUAUGAUUCAUCCGCACAAAGGAACAAAGUUCUGACACACAUGACAACAGAGAUGAACCUUGAAAACAUUAUGCUGAGUAGAAUAAGCCAGACACAAAAGGACAAAUAUUGUAGGAUUCCAGAUCUAAACUAGGCAAAUUUAUAGAGACAAAGCAGAUUAGAGGUUACCAAGGGCUAGGGGUGGGGGAUGGGAGGUUAUUGCUUAAUGGGUUCAGAUUAUCUGUUUGGGAUGGUGAAAAAGUUUGCAGUGCACAAGAGUUCCAGUUUUGGAAGUAGAUAUCAGUGAUGGUUGCACAACAUCGUGAAUGUAAUUAAUGUGAAUUAUACACUUAAAAUGGUUAAAAUGGCAUUUUUGUGAUGUAUAUCUUUUGCUACAAAAAGAACCAUUUUUUAAAGAAGCAAUGGUGAGCAAAGUUGGUAAAUCUGUAGGUAGAUCCAAUAAAGCCUUGACAAUUCAAAGAAAAGUAAUAAUUAAUUUAUGGCCAUACAAACAGGGUGAGGCUAGUACUCCAAACAGCAAAGCCUAGCAUGCCCAGUACCGGGCAAAGAGCAGGGGGAGACACGGGCUGUGUCUACACAAGGAGCAUGCCUUUCUAGCACAGGUAUUAAAACUUUAGGACAAUUUAUUAAAGAAAUAGAAAAUAUGAUCUCUGUGUUAGUUUCCUGUGAUUGCUAUAAGAAGUUACCACAAGUCUGGUAGUUUAUAACAACAA